AGCAGUGGGGAAUCUUGGACAAUGGGCGCAAGCCUGAUCCAGCCAUGCCGCGUGAGUGAUGAAGGCCCUAGGGUCGUAAAGCUCUUUCGCCUGUGAUGAUAAUGACAGUAGCAGGUAAAGAAACCCCGGCUAACUCCGUGCCAGCAGCCGCGGUAAUACGGAGGGGGUUAGCGUUGUUCGGAAUUACUGGGCGUAAAGCGCGCGUAGGCGGACUAUUAAGUCAGAGGUGAAAUCCCGGGGCUCAACCCCGGAACUGCCUUUGAUACUGGUAGUCUAGAGUUCGAGAGAGGUGAGUGGAAUUCCGAGUGUAGAGGUGAAAUUCGUAGAUAUUCGGAGGAACACCAGUGGCGAAGGCGGCUCACUGGCUCGAUACUGACGCUGAGGUGCGAAAGUGUGGGGAGCAAACAGGAUUAGAUACCCUGGUAGUCCA
rnacentral:rRNA from 1 species